rnacentral:rRNA from 1 species
CAUGUCGAGCGGUUGAGGUAGCUUGCUACCGAUGCAGCGGCGGACGGGUGAGUAAUACAUGGGAAUCUGCCUGGUAGUGGGGGACAACGUUUCGAAAGGAACGCUAAUACCGCAUACGCCCUACGGGGGAAAGGGGGGGAUCUUCGGACCUCUCGCUAUCAGAUGAGCCCAUGUCGGAUUAGCUUGUUGGUGGGGUAAAGGCCUACCAAGGCGACGAUCCGUAACUGGUCUGAGAGGAUGAUCAGUCACACUGGAACUGAGACACGGUCCAGACUCCUACGGGAGGCAGCAGUGGGGAAUAUUGGACAAUGGGCGAAAGCCUGAUCCAGCCAUGCCGCGUGUGUGAAGAAGGCCUUAGGGUUGUAAAGCACUUUCAGUGGGGAGAAAGGUUAUUCACCUAAUACGUGAGUAAAUUGAUGUUACCCACAGAACAAGCACCGGCUAUCUUCCGUGCCAGCAGCCGCGGUAAUACGGAGGGUGCAAGCGUUAAUCGGAAUUACUGGGCGUAAAGCGCACGUAGGUGGUUUGUUAAGCCAGCUGUGAAAUCCCCGGGACUCAACCUGAGCACUGCAAUU